rnacentral:tRNA from 1 species
GGGAAUGUAGCUUAAUGGUAGAGUGCUUGCCUAUCAUGCAUGAAACUCUGGGUUUGAUUCCUCAGUACCA